UGUCUAUUUCUCAUCAACCUCUGACUCGGUG
rnacentral:piRNA from 1 species